rnacentral:rRNA from 1 species
UACGUAGGGUGCGAGCGUUAAUCGGAAUUACUGGGCGUAAAGCGUGCGCAGGCGGUUUUGUAAGCCAGAUGUGAAAUCCCCGGGCUUAACCUGGGAAUGGCAUUUGGGACUGCAUGGCUAGAGUUUGGCAGAGGGGGGUAGAAUUCCAGGUGUAGCGGUGAAAUGCGUAGAUAUCUGGAGGAAUACCGGUGGCGAAGGCGGCAUCCUGGACCAUAACUGACGCUGAGGCGCGAAAGCUAGGGGAGCAAACGGG